AGUGAACGCUGGCGGUAGGCCUAACACAUGCAAGUCGAACGGCAGCACAGUAAGAGCUUGCUCUUACGGGUGGCGAGUGGCGGACGGGUGAGGAAUACAUCGGAAUCUACUUUUUCGUGGGGGAUAACGUAGGGAAACUUACGCUAAUACCGCAUACGACCUACGGGUGAAAGCAGGGGAUCUUCGGACCUUGCGCGAUUGAAUGCGCCGAUGUCGGAUUAGCUAGUUGGCGGGGUAAAGGCCCACCAAGGCGACGAUCCGUAGCUGGUCUGAGAGGAUGAUCAGCCACACUGGAACUGAGACACGGUCCAGACUCCUACGGGAGGCAGCAGUGGGGAAUAUUGGACAAUGGGCGCAAGCCUGAUCCAGCCAUACCGCGUGGGUGAAGAAGGCCUUCGGGUUGUAAAGCCCUUUUGUUGGGAAAGAAAAGCAGCAGGUUAAUACCCCGCUGUUCUGACGGUACUCAAAGAAUAAGCACCGGCUAACUUCGUG
rnacentral:rRNA from 1 species